AUGCCUGCCCAUUCUGCAGCCCUCCCGGGGCACCAGGGAACUUCUUCCCCCCUCACUGCCAUUGCCCCAAACCUCCAACUACCUGGAGGGCUCCACGGAGAAGCAGGCAUCCCCCGCUUGGCGAGGGGGGGUGGUGGCAGGGGCACACCUCACGGAAUGCCUCCUGGAGAGCGCGGCCCAGCGCAGAAGAGGGGAGGGGGCACCCCGCGGGCGGCGGUCAGGGGAAGCAAGGAGGGCAGAGCACUUGGGGAAGCCAGCCGCUCUCAGGCGGCGGCUGCGCUCGGGGGUCGCCUGCAGUCCCGGGCCGCCGCCCCCAGCCCAAGUCCAUCCGGCCCUCUGGCGCGGCCACGGGGCAGGGCAGGCCCCCCACCCGGGGCCGCCGGGGCCCCAGCACCCGGCUUCCAGCCUCCGCGGAGCCCGGCUUCGCGCCGUGUCCCACGCGAUCGGCUGAGCUCGCAGGGGUCCGGGCGGACAACCCGAGCGCAACGCCGCGCGCAGGGCGCCAGCGGGGCCUCGGUGCUCCCCCGAGCGCGGCAGCUUCGGCCCGCACGCCGGGCCCCAGGCCUUCUCCACGGCGCCGGCGGCCCGGUGGGCGCGCCCGCGGUUCCGCUCGGUCGUGGCAGGGGCCACGCGGGGCGGCCCAGCUCGGCGCUUCCCCGGCCCUCGCCGCCCGCGCACGGGGCUCCGGGGGUGCUGGCACGGCCGGCACCGCGGCGGGGGGGCUGGGCCGGCCGAGGCGGAGCGCCCGGUGCCGGGGACCCCGGCGCAGAUGGGGCGCAGCUGCGCGCUCACUGGUCUAAACUGGAAACGCUCGGAGCCGGUCAACGUAGAAGCUGGGAAGUAAGGGGGCUGCCCUCGGCCGCCACUUCCCACCCGGCAGGCGGCGUGGCCCCAGUGCCCCGCGGCCGCGCCCCGGCAGCCGCGCCCCGCCGCGCUCCGGCCCGGGCUCCGCGCUCACCGGGGCGCCUGGUUUUCGUUCGGCCGGCUCCCCGCUCAACGAGAACCGUUCGUUUUCCUCUCCCACUCGGUCUCCUUUUGCUGCUUUCUGCUCUUUCAGGAUGUCCUCUUUUCCUUUCAUUUUUUUCUGCCUCUACUUAG
rnacentral:lncRNA from 12 species